rnacentral:tRNA from 1 species
UUCCUCCGUGGGCGAGGCCGGGGCGCCCUGAGCAGGCGGCGCGGGGAUCGGGGGAACGGAGUCCAUGACCUCGGUUGGAUCCUCGACGGGAGGGGC